rnacentral:rRNA from 1 species
UACGUAGGGUGCGAGCGUUAAUCGGAAUUACUGGGCGUAAAGCGUGCGCAGGCGGUUUUGUAAGCCAGAUGUGAAAGCCCCGGGCUUAACCUGGGAAUGGCAUUUGGGACUGCAAGGCUUGAGUGCGGCAGAGGAGACUGGAAUUCCCGGUGUAGCGGUGAAAUGCGCAGAUAUCAGGAAGAACACCCGUGGCGAAGGCGGCUCUCUGGUACGUGACUGACGCUGAGACGCGAAAGCGUGGGGAGCGAACAGG